AUGUUGGGACCUGUUUAUUAUUAUUAUUUGUAUUAUUAUUUUAAAAUCUGUCACUUUUUUACAGGUGUACAGGCAAAAAAAAAAAUUAUAUCAAUAACGUAUUAUAUCAAUACGUGCGUGUGUGUCUGCCGCUACUCACCGGGUCUCCUCUAUUCUAAUCUAUCCUGCUGGACUUCUUUGUGUCGUUUUUUUUUUCUUUUUUUUUUUCGUGUGUCGUGCCAACCCGUGGAUUACUGUUACAAACUUUGCUACAAUUUGCCGUGGAUUACUGCUACAAACUUUGCCACAAUCUCCGUUGUUGUUGUGUCAAUCCGUGGACUACUGCUACAAACUUUCCAUCCGUGGAGUAUUGCUAUAAACUUUCAAUUCGUGGAGUAUUGCUACAAACUUUCAAUCCGUGGACUAUUGCUACAAACUCUCAAUCUGUGGACUAUUGCUACAAACGUUGAUACACACUGCUCCUUCUGUUCUGUUUGCUAUGGCCCAGCACACCGGCUCCUUUCCUGCAUGAGCUUUCUUCCUCGCUCCCUUCACUGCGACUACUUGUGACACUGGAAACCAGCCACAAGAUUCAACAACAUCAGCAACCAGAUGUGGAAUCUCAGAUGAGACUAUUGUGGCCCUUGGUCGCUGGUCAUCUUGAGUCUACCACACCUACAUCUGCAACAAUUUCAAGUUCUCGGUCAAGCCCAAUCUUACCUCAGCUCUUCUCAACUUGGGGGGCAUUUUGUCUGGCCUGAAUAUACAAACAAGUUUCUCUGGGCCAUCAAUUCCAGAUGCCCAGAGCAACCUGACCAUCAUGUCCCCUUUACCUUUUCAUCCUCUUCCAACUCAUUCCUAACAUUCUGGUCAAUAAACUUAUAUUUUAUACAUAUUUGGUUGUGAUGUAUUUCUGAAAAUCUUUUUCUGUUGUGUCACAGUAAAUAAACACUGUAUAAAAACUGAUGGAAGCCAUCACAGGAGCAUGCUUCUUUAACUUUAUUAUACUUCUUUCCAGGGGUACUACAUUAACAUGAGAAGUGCAGGUAAUACAAAGUUUUAUAACUUUCAGCAGGAUGCAGUUAAAUGCUCAUGGGAAAGAUGAGUUUUAUGCUCUUUUU
rnacentral:lncRNA from 1 species